CCUACGGGGGGCAGCAGUGGGGAAUAUUGGACAAUGGGGGGAACCCUGAUCCAGCCAUGCCGCGUGUGUGAAGAAGGCCCUCGGGUUGUAAAGCACUUUCAGUGAGGAAGAACGCCUGGUGGUUAAUACCCAUCAGGAAAGACAUCACUCACAGAAGAAGCACCGGCUAACUCCGUGCCAGCAGCCGCGGUAAUACGGAGGGUGCGAGCGUUAAUCGGAAUUACUGGGCGUAAAGCGCGCGUAGGUGGCUUGAUAAGCCGGUUGUGAAAGCCCCGGGCUCAACCUGGGAACGGCAUACGGAACUGUCAAGCUAGAGUGCAGGAGAGGAAGGUAGAAUUCCCGGUGUAGCGGUGAAAUGCGUAGAGAUCGGGAGGAAUACCAGUGGCGAAGGCGGCCUUCUGGACUGACACUGACACUGAGGUGCGAAAGCGUGGGUAGCAAACAGGAUUAGAUACCCCGGUAGUC
rnacentral:rRNA from 1 species